GUGUCAGCAGCCGCGGUAAUACGUAGGUGGCAAGCGUUGUCCGGAAUUAUUGGGCGUAAAGCGCUCGCAGGCGGCUCUUUAAGUCUGAUGUGAAAUCUUACGGCUCAACCGUAAACGUGCAUUGGAAACUGGGGAACUUGAGUGCAGAAGAGGAGAGUGGAAUUCCACGUGUAGCGGUGAAAUGCGUAGAGAUGUGGAGGAACACCAGUGGCGAAGGCGACUCUCUGGUCUGUAACUGACGCUGAGGAGCGACAGCGUGGGGAGCGAACAGGAUUAGAAACCCGCGUAGUCC
rnacentral:rRNA from 1 species